CGUGGAGACAGGUGGUGCAUGGCUGUCGUCAGCUCGUGUCGUGAGAUGUUGGGUUAAGUCCCGCAACGAGCGCAACCCUCACCCCUUGUUGCCAUCAGGUCACGCUGGGCACUCUAGGGGAACUGCCCCGGUCAACGGGGGGGAAGGUGGGGACGACGUCAAGUCAUCAUGCCCCUUACGCCCUGGGCUACACACGUGCUACAAUGGCCGGUACAAAGGGAUGCAAGACCGUGAGGUGGAGCUAAACCCAAAAAGCCGGUCUAAGUUCAGAUUGGAGUCUGCAACUCGACUCCAUGAAGGAGGAAUCGCUAGUAAUCGCGCAUCAGCACGGCGCGGUGAAUACGUUCCCGGGCCUUGUACACACCGCCCGUCACACCACGAAAGCCAGCUGUACUCGAAGUCGCUGAG
rnacentral:rRNA from 1 species